UCAACGGCUCUUUUAAGAGCCACCCAUAUUUUCAAGCAAAAAAGCU
rfam:Fukomys damarensis contig90620, whole genome shotgun sequence.